rnacentral:lncRNA from 1 species
UUAGUUUGAGUUAAUUAAGCCCAUAUAGUUAAGUAUAACUCAUUUUGGGUGUCAUUACAAGAAUGAGCUCAUAACUAUAUGGUGCCACAAACAAUUAGUGGUGUUGGUUAAGAAGAUUGGAGUUAUAAGGAGUUACAUAACAAUUACAUGCCUAUAAUUAGCUUAGUUAUUGUUGGAGUUACAAUUGUAAUUACCACAUAAUUAUCAUAGUUAUUGUGGGAGUUACAAUUGGAGUUAUUGUAUUGUAACUUAUCAUUGAUUUCUUUGGCUAUAAAUACCAAAGGAACUCUUCUUUGUGGACAUCAAGAGUUGUAAUCAAACAUUU